rnacentral:rRNA from 1 species
GACGUAGGGCGCGAGCGUUGUCCGGAUUUAUUGGGCGUAAAGAGCUCGUAGGCGGUUUGUCGCGUCUGCUGUGAAAACCCGAGGCUCAACCUCGGGCCUGCAGUGGGUACGGGCAGACUAGAGUGCGGUAGGGGAGAUUGGAAUUCCUGGUGUAGCGGUGGAAUGCGCAGAUAUCAGGAGGAACACCAAUGGCGAAGGCAGAUCUCUGGGCCGUAACUGACGCUGAGGAGCGAAAGCAUGGGGAGCGAACAGG